rnacentral:rRNA from 1 species
GGUUAAGCGACUAAGCGUACACGGUGGAUGCCCUGGCAGUCAGAGGCGAUGAAGGACGUGCUAAUCUGCGAAAAGCGUCGGUAAGGUGAUAUGAACCGUUAUAGCCGGCGAUGUCCGAAUGGGGAAACCCAGUGCAAUUCGUUGCACUAUCGUUUGAUGAAUACAUAGUCAAACGAGGCGAACCGGGGGAACUGAAACAUCUAAGUACCCCGAGGAAAAGAAAUCAACCGAGAUUCCCCCAGUAGCGGCGAGCGAACGGGGAGCAGCCCGGAGUCUGAAUCAGCUUGUGUGUUAGUGGAAGCGUCUGGAAAGUCGCAGGGUACAGGGUGAUACUCCCGUACACUAAAGCACACAGGUUGUGAACUCGAAGAGUAGGGCGGGACACGUGGUAUCCUGUCUGAAUAUGGGGGGACCAUCCUCCAAGGCUAAAUACUCCUGACUGACCGAUAGUGAACCAGUACCGUGAGGGAAAGGCGAAAAGAACCCCGGCGAGGGGAGUGAAAAAGAACCUGAAACCGUGUACGUACAAGCAGUAGGAGCCCACUAGUUGGGUGACUGCGUACCUUUUGUAUAAUGGGUCAGCGACUUAUAUUCUGUAGCAAGGUUAACCGUAUAGGGGAGCCGCAGGGAAACCGAGUCUUAACUGGGCGUUAAGUUGCAGGGUAUAGACCCGAAACCCGGUGAUCUAGCCAUGGGCAGGUUGAAGGUUGGGUAACACUAACUGGAGGACCGAACCGACUAAUGUUGAAAAAUUAGCGGAUGACUUGUGGCUGGGGGUGAAAGGCCAAUCAAACCGGGAGAUAGCUGGUUCUCCCCGAAAGCUAUUUAGGUAGCGCCUCGUGAAUUCAUCUUCGGGGGUAGAGCACUGUUUCGGCUAGGGGGUCAUCCCGACUUACCAACCCGAUGCAAACUACGAAUACCGAAGAAUGUUAUCACGGGAGACACACGGCGGGUGCUAACGUCCGUCGUGAAGAGGGAAACAACCCAGACCGCCAGCUAAGGUCCCAAAGUCAUGGUUAAGUGGGAAACGAUGUGGGAAGGCCCAGACAGCCAGGAUGUUGGCUUAGAAGCAGCCAUCAUUUAAAGAAAGCGUAAUAGCUCACUGGUCGAGUCGGCCUGCGCGGAAGAUGUAACGGGGCUAAACCAUGCACCGAAGCUGCGGCAGCGACACUAUGUGUUGUUGGGUAGGGGAGCGUUCUGUAAGCCGUUGAAGGUGGCCUGUGAGGGUUGCUGGAGGUAUCAGAAGUGCGAAUGCUGACAUAAGUAACGAUAAUGCGGGUGAAAAACCCGCACGCCGGAAGACCAAGGGUUCCUGUCCAACGUUAAUCGGGGCAGGGUGAGUCGACCCCUAAGGCGAGGCCGAAAGGCGUAGUCGAUGGGAAACAGGUUAAUAUUCCUGUACUCGGUGUUACUGCGAAGGGGGGACGGAGAAGGCUAUGUUGGCCGGGCGACGGUUGUCCCGGUUUAAGCAUGUAGGCGGAUGUUCCAGGUAAAUCCGGAACGUUACUAACGCUGAGGUGUGAUGACGAGGCACUACGGUGCUGAAGUGACAAAUGCCCUGCUUCCAGGAAAAGCCUCUAAGCAUCAGGUAACAUCAAAUCGUACCCCAAACCGACACAGGUGGUCAGGUAGAGAAUACCAAGGCGCUUGAGAGAACUCGGGUGAAGGAACUAGGCAAAAUGGUGCCGUAACUUCGGGAGAAGGCACGCUGAUGGUAGGUGAAGCGACUUGCUCGUGGAGCUGAAAUCAGUCGAAGAUACCAGCUGGCUGCAACUGUUUAUUAAAAACACAGCACUGUGCAAACACGAAAGUGGACGUAUACGGUGUGACGCCUGCCCGGUGCCGGAAGGUUAAUUGAUGGGGUUAUCCGUAAGGAGAAGCUCUUGAUCGAAGCCCCGGUAAACGGCGGCCGUAACUAUAACGGUCCUAAGGUAGCGAAAUUCCUUGUCGGGUAAGUUCCGACCUGCACGAAUGGCGUAAUGAUGGCCAGGCUGUCUCCACCCGAGACUCAGUGAAAUUGAACUCGCUGUGAAGAUGCAGUGUACCCGCGGCAAGACGGAAAGACCCCGUGAACCUUUACUAUAGCUUGACACUGAACACUGGUCCUUGAUGUGUAGGAUAGGUGGGAGGCUUUGAAGUGUGGACGCCAGUCUGCAUGGAGCCAUCCUUGAAAUACCACCCUUUAAUGGCUGGUGUUCUAACGUGGGCCCCUAAUCGGGGUUGCGGACAGUGUCUGGUGGGUAGUUUGACUGGGGCGGUCUCCUCCUAAAGAGUAACGGAGGAGCACGAAGGUCAGCUAAUCCUGGUCGGACAUCAGGAGGUUAGUGCAAUGGCAUAAGCUGGCUUGACUGCGAGCGUGACGGCGCGAGCAGGUGCGAAAGCAGGUCAUAGUGAUCCGGUGGUUCUGAAUGGAAGGGCCAUCGCUCAACGGAUAAAAGGUACUCCGGGGAUAACAGGCUGAUACCGCCCAAGAGUUCAUAUCGACGGCGGUGUUUGGCACCUCGAUGUCGGCUCAUCACAUCCUGGGGCUGAAGUAGGUCCCAAGGGUAUGGCUGUUCGCCAUUUAAAGUGGUACGCGAGCUGGGUUUAGAACGUCGUGAGACAGUUCGGUCCCUAUCUGCCGUGGGCGCUGGAGAAUUGAGGGGGGCUGCUCCUAGUACGAGAGGACCGGAGUGGACGCAUCACUGGUGUUCGGGUUGUCAUGCCAAUGGCAUUGCCCGGUAGCUAAAUGCGGAAGAGAUAAGUGCUGAAAGCAUCUAAGCACGAAACUUGCCCCGAGAUGAGUUCUCCCUGACCCUUUAAGGGUCCUGAAGGAACGUUGAAGACGACGACGUUGAUAGGCCGGGUGUGUAAGCGCAGCGAUGCGUUGAGCUAACCGGUACUAAUGAACCGUGAGGCUUAACCUU